rnacentral:rRNA from 1 species
GACGAACGCUGGCGGCGUGCUUAACACAUGCAAGUCGAACGGAAAGGCCCUGCUUUUGUGGGGUGCUCGAGUGGCGAACGGGUGAGUAACACGUGAGUAACCUGCCCUUGACUUUGGGAUAACUUCAGGAAACUGGGGCUAAUACCGGAUAGGAGCUCCUGCUGCAUGGUGGGGGUUGGAAAGUUUCGGCGGUUGGGGAUGGACUCGCGGCUUAUCAGCUUGUUGGUGGGGUAGUGGCUUACCAAGGCUUUGACGGGUAGCCGGCCUGAGAGGGUGACCGGCCACAUUGGGACUGAGAGAGGGACCAGACUCCUACGGGAGGCAGCAGUGGGGAAUAUUGCACAAUGGGCGGAAGCCUGAUGCAGCAACGCCGCGUGCGGGAUGACGGCCUUCGGGUUGUAAACCGCUUUCGCCUGUGACGAAGCGUGAGUGACGGUAAUGGGUAAAGAAGCACCGGCUAACUACGUG